AUUGAACGCUGGCGGCAGGCCUAACACAUGCAAGUCGAGCGGAUGAAGGGAGCUUGCUCCUGGAUUCAGCGGCGGACGGGUGAGUAAUGCCUAGGAAUCUGCCUGGUAGUGGGGGAUAACGUCCGGAAACGGGCGCUAAUACCGCAUACGUCCUGAGGGAGAAAGUGGGGGAUCUUCGGACCUCACGCUAUCAGAUGAGCCUAGGUCGGAUUAGCUAGUUGGUGGGGUGAAGGCCUACCAAGGCGACGAUCCGUAACUGGUCUGAGAGGAUGAUCAGUCACACGGGAACUGAGACACGGUCCAGACUCCUACGGGAGGCAGCAGUGGGGAAUAUUAGGCAAUGGGGGAAAGCCUGAUCCAGCCAUGCCGCGUGUGUGAAGAAGGUCUUCGGAUUGUAAAGCACUUUAAGUUGGGGGGAAGGGCAGUAAGUUAAUACCUUGCUGUUUUGACGUUACCAGGAGAAUAAGCACCGGCUAACUUCGUG
rnacentral:rRNA from 1 species